AGGAUCCUUAACACGACUCAGAUAUUGUCUAUCCUGAUUCAAAGCGAUGCUGUUGUUUUACAAAAAGUUAUUAUCGAUAUGUGAAGGGUACAGGCUCCCUUUUAGCAACUCUGCAGCCAAAUAACGAGGAUAAAGCAUCUUCACUGAAGGAGCAGUGCCUUAGAUACUUUACUCCUAGGGAGGUUGCUAAUUUGCAUUCUCUCCCAGAAGAUUUUCAGUUUCCACAGCAAAUAAGCCUUCGGCAACGUUAUGCAUUGCUGGGGAACAGUUUGAGCAUAGCAGUGGUUGCUCCUUUACUGCAAUAUUUAUUUUCUGAAUCAUCAUGAUUUUUCAAAGACACUCCAAUGUAACAGAUGCAGAUCUCACCUACUGCGUUACGUUCAGAUCACUAUUUAGAUCAACCAAGAAGCUUAUACUUCGGUCACCAGAAUUUGAUAUCUCUGCUGCUUAUAACAUGUAACCUGAUAUGCUUUCAUUUUAAAAAUGUAACCAAGGGGAGAUUAUAA